GAGCGUCGCGGCGGCGUGUAGCUGUGGCGGAAAAGGUCAAGGAUGGGAGGGGAGCGGGCGAGGCGGCCGAGCCGAGCGACGCUGGGGAGGAGGAGGGUCGUGCGGGCGGAGGGCUCCCAGGGCUGAGGGCGGCCCGGACGAGCUGACAGUGCCUGAUCCCCCGGCAAGGAAGCCUCAGGUGCGGGCGCCGGGAGGGCCGGAGCCGCGGACUUUCUAGGAAAGGGAACCCCGCUGCUGCCGAAACCCCAGCCGAGCGGACCGGCUUCCCAGAAGUCAUAUAGGACUUUGUUACAGGAAAGAAGAAAGGGGAAAGAAGAAAAGGAAACAAUCAGACAAAUCCAGAAUGUGGAAUAUCCUAUUGGACAACUGACUGUUUCUUCCAGUUAAAGGGUGCGACCGAGGAACAACAGCGCCGACCACCCAUCCUUCUCGAUCCCUGGGGAAAUUAACUUUUUUUUGGAUGGGAGAGUCAGUAGACGAGGCUUCAUUUUCCAUCAGGGAACACGAACUGCUGCGGGAAGAUCCCAGCUUCUGGCUAAAGCUGCAGCGGUAGGAGCCGCCGACCAGCUCGCCAUCCAGUCCCCAGAGCCCGGGCUUUAGGCAAAGCGGAGAGACGCAAACCAGUUUUGCCGCCAAGGACCCGGCCAGGUGCGUCUCCUCCCGGGACUCGCAAGGAACAGGUUAGCGAGACGACUUCCAGCUUUCUCUGCCCGGCCCCAAACGCCUGCCGCCCCUGCCCGGCCGCCCGCUCUCUGGCGGCCUCUGCAAGUCUCCAGGCAGAAGCGGCUCCGCGCUGCCAGCGCUGGCGCCCCGCGAAGCCCCGCGGCCAAAUGACAGGACUUGAGGGCAAAGGAGGACAAAAGUUCCCACCAGGUGGGCACUGCGGGAAGGAGGCCGACGACCCCGAGAUUCUCCGGCGACCCCAGCGGGCCACCCCGGGGCGGUGAGGGGUCCCGAGGCAAGUGCGCGGCGGCGCCGGCGGCUUCCCCCGCGGCCUGGGAAGGUCACGCCGCCCGGACGCCGAGGCCCGCCCCGCGACCCGCUCCCUCCGCCCCGCGCGCUUCCCACAGCUGGAGGCGCCGGGCCGGGCUGCGCCCUCUGCAGCGCCAGCGUGGCCACGUCCCGCUCAGGCUCCGCCGCCUGCUCGUGGCUCCGGGGCGGCCACUGUUAACACCCACGUCGGCCGCGGCCGGCCCUCCGCGCAGGCAGCCCCGGCGGCGGCCCCGCGAAGCUCAGGGGCGCCCCUGCGACCGGGGAGCGGGCUGCACAGUGCCGCGCCCGGGCUGGGUCCUGGAGCCGCCGCCGCCCGCACGGGAAGCGGAAGUGGGCGCUGAGCCGCGGCGCGCCCAGCCCAACCCAGCCCGCGAGCUGGCGUGGCGCUGCCGCCGACCCUAGCAAAGCUGGAGGGCAGGGCCUGCGCGCCUGGGGACUUGCCCUCCUCUGGGCUCCGCAAGACCGUGUCUGAGCUCGGACCUUAGUUAGCCGCCUGGGCUGAGGAUGAGGGCUGGGGACUGGGAAUGUCAGUGGUUGGGAGGACUUAAGUUUCUAGCUAGUUUGACCUUGUUGGGAGGCUAAGGCCUUAUUUAUAAAUUUUAUUUGGGUACAAAAUUA